rnacentral:rRNA from 1 species
UGGGGAAUAUUGCACAAUGGGGGAAACCCUGAUGCAGCGACGCCGCGUGAGCGAAGAAGGCUUUCGAGUCGUAAAGCUCUGUCCUAUGAGAAGAUAAUGACGGUAUCAUAGGAGGAAGCCCUGGCUAAAUACGUGCCAGCAGCCGCGGUAAUACGUAUGGGGCGAGCGUUGUCCGGAAUUAUUGGGCGUAAAGGGUACGUAGGUGGUUUUUUAAGUCAGGUGUCAAAGCGUGGAGCUUAACUCCAUUAAGCACUUGAAACUGAAAGACUUGAGUGAAGGAGAGGAAAGUGGAAUUCCUAGUGUAUCGGUGAAAUGCGUAGAUAUUAGGAGGAAGACCGGUGGCGAAGGCGACUUUCUGGACUUUUACUGACGCUCAGGUACUAAAGCGUGGGGAGCAAACAGG